rnacentral:rRNA from 1 species
GACAGAGGUCCCGAGCGUUAUGCGGAAUCACUGGGCUUAAAGCGUGUGUAGGCGGAUCGUUAAGUGCCUUGUGAAAUCCCACGGCUCAACCGUGGAACUGCUGGGCAUACUGCCGAUCUUGAGCCACAUAGGGGCAACCGGAACAAACGGUGGAGCGGUGAAAUGCGUAGAUAUCGUUUGGAACGCCAAUGGUGAAAACAGGUUGCUGGGAGUGUGCUGACGCUGAGACACGAAAGCCAGGGGAGCGAACGGG